rnacentral:rRNA from 1 species
CAAUAGCGUAUAUUAAAGUUGUUGCAGUUAAAAAGCUCGUAGUUGGAUUUCUGGUCGGAAGCUCCUGCCCUCUGAUGAGCGUACAAGUGCGUCCUACCAUCCUUCUGUUAACCUUUAAGGCUUUCGCGGCUUUCUAGGGGCUCAGAUAUUUUACCUUGAGAAAAUUAGAGUGUUUCAGGCAGGCUAGCGCCGGAAUACAUUAGCAUGGAAUAAUGGAAUAGGACUUUUGCCUCUUCUGUUGGUCAUGAGGCUCGAGUAAUGAUUAAUAGGGAUAGUUGGGGGCAUUAGUACUUAACUGUCAGAGGUGAAAUUCUCGGAUUUGUUAAAGACUAACUUAUGCGAAAGCAUUUGCCAAAGAUGUUUUCAUUAA